GGCAGUUCUCAGAUGACACACCAUGGAAUCUGACUUCCUCCUCUCUGGUUCUCAGGUGUGUCACUGCAGCUCAGCA
rfam:Myotis lucifugus cont2.32830, whole genome shotgun sequence.